GAUGAACGCUGGCGGCGUGCCUAAUACAUGCAAGUCGAGCGAACAGACGAGGAGCUUGCUCCUCUGACGUUAGCGGCGGACGGGUGAGUAACACGUGGAUAACCUACCUAUAAGACUGGGAUAACUUCGGGAAACCGGAGCUAAUACCGGAUAAUAUAUUGAACCGCAUGGUUCAAUAGUGAAAGACGGUUUUGCUGUCACUUAUAGAUGGAUCCGCGCCGCAUUAGCUAGUUGGUAAGGUAACGGCUUACCAAGGCAACGAUGCGUAGCCGACCUGAGGGGGGGAUCGGCCGCCUGGGAAAGGGGACGCGGCCCAACAUCGUGGGGGAGGCAGGGGUAGGGAACCUUCCGGAAGGGGCAGAAGGUUAAAGGGGAAACCCGGGGUGAGUAAGAAAGGGCUUCGGUGCGUAAAACUUUUUUAUUAGGGAAAAACAAAGUUGUAAAAAACGAGGCCCUUUUGGACGGACCCAAAGAAGAAAGCCCGGCUAAAUUCGUG
rnacentral:rRNA from 1 species